ACGCGCAGGCGGCCCGAGCCGCCCCGGGGCGGGACGAGGAGGUGUGGCGCAGUCCGGCUCGCCGCCGCCGCUGCUCCCCAGUGGUUCAGAGCCGCGCGAGCUGAGCGUUUCACCUACAAAAGGGUCUUCGGAUCGGUUUCCCACCGCCGAAAGGUGGCUGAGCCAAUGUGACUGGCUCUAGGAGGAAAUAAAUCACAUCUGUCAAAAGAGCCUUGAGUCGAAGGAUAGGAGAAUCCUCGAAUUUGGUGGGUGCUGACCAAGGCACCAUGCAAGGUGUUAACUUUGCUUUAGGGGGUGACCUGGCUGGCUGCUGCAGUUGCCGUUAACAAGCCACCGUAUGGAUGAGACCCCAGAUCCAUCUCCUCCUGCGCUCCUCAAAACAGGAAGAUGGAGAACUACAGCGAGCUACUUCCAGGAGGCGCCAAUGGCAAGUCCUCCCUUCAAGGAAACUGGGAAAGUUGCCCGAUUUUGAUCGUUUCCGUCCAAACACCCACCAGACAAUAUACACAUACACAUUUCUAAAUUAACAGCAUUGGCAAAAACUGAAAA